AAACCUUGCAACAAGAGUCUUUACUUUUCUUUUUUUUUUGUAGAAAAAAAAAAGAAGAUGCAAUUUCAGUUCCAUUAUAAUCAUGCACAGAUCGAAAAAUGCAACGAGUUCAAGGAUUGGAAAUGCUUUAGAGAACAUACAUGGAAAUUGAUCAGUACCUACAUUGCUGAAACAACUUAUCCUUGAUCGCUUCUCUUUUACGAACGCUUCUUGCACGCCGCCAUUCACCGCCUCCACCAUCAGCUCCGCCGCACGCGCCGCCUUCUUGAUCGCGUCCUUCUUCGCCCGGUCUGUGAUGGAGCUUUCUCCCAUUUUUUUUUGGGAGAG
rnacentral:lncRNA from 1 species